GUCCCUGUAGCGCAAUUGAUAGAUAGGGACGUUGGACUUCUCAUUCAAAAAAGUCGUGGGUUCGAAUUCCACCUGGGAUG